rnacentral:ncRNA from 1 species
GUUUGGUCCUAGCCUUACCUUCAACUAUUACUCAACCUACACAUGCAAGUAUCCGCACCCCCGUGAAAACGCCCUCACCCCUCCGACAAGAAGAGGAGCUGGUAUCAGGCACAAAUACUUUUGCCCAUAACACCUAGCCACGCCACACCCCCAAGGGCAUUCAGCAGUGACAAACAUUGACUUUAAGCGCCAGCUUGACCCAGUCAGAGUAAGCUAGAGUCGGCCAAUUCGGUGCCAGCCGCCGCGGCUACCCCGCUUGACUCAAGUUGACACCAUCGGCGUUAAGCGUGAUUAAAGUAACACUAAACACUAGAAUCAAACCCCACCCAAGUCGUGAUACGCUUGCCUAUAAGAAGCCCCCCAACGAAAGUUAUUCUAAAAUACUUGAACCCACGAUAGUUGGGACACAAACUGGGAUUAGGUACCCCACUAUGCCCAACCGUAAAACAUCUACCCACACCAAAAACCGCCAGGGAAUUACGAGCCACCUUAAAACCCAAAGGACUUGACGGUGCCCCACCCACCUAGAGGAGCCUGUUCUUUAAUCGACACCACACGCUACACCUCACCCCCCCCUAGCAUCCCAGUCUGUAUACCUCCGUCACAAGCUUACCCUGUGAACGCCACUAGUCAGCUCAAAGAUCUACCACCAACACGUCAGGUCAAGGUGCAACUAAUGGGGCGGAAAGCAAUGGGCUACAAUUUCUACACUAGAACACACACAAAACUGCAUGAAACGCAGCAUAAAGGCGGAUUUAGCAGUAAAAAGAAAACAGAGAGUUCUUUUUAAUCCGGCACUGGGGCGCGUACACACCGCCCGUCACCCUCUUCAAACUAAACAAGAAGAGGCAAGUCGUAACACGGUAAGCGUACUGGAAAGUGCGCUUGGACAUCAAAAUGUAGCUUAACCAAAGCGUCUCGCUUACACCGAAACAGAUAUCAAUAAACCAGAUCAUUUUGAGCCAGAGCCCAAGCCCCCCCCCCCCCCCCACCACGACAAACAAAAUAAAACAUUCUCUCCAUCAAGUAACGGUGACUAAAAAAUAAGUAAGAGCUAUAAAAAUAGUACCGCAAGGGAAACAUGAAAUACCACCCCCACCCCCGCAUAACACAGCAAAGAUCGAACCUUGUACCUUUUGCAUCAUGGUCUAGCCAGUCUAACCAAGCAAAGCGCACCUAAAGUUUGACCCCCCGAAACUAGACGAGCUACUUUACAACAACUCAUAGAGCCAACCCAUCUCUGUUGCAAAAGAGUGGGAAGAUUUUAAAGUAGAGGUGACACACCAACCGAGCCUAGAGAUAGCUGGUUGUUCAGAAAAAGGAUUUUAGUCCAACUUUAAGUUUCAUCUAGUAACACUAAACACACAACUUAAAAGCCAUUCAAAUGGGGUACAGCCCAUUCGAACAAGGGAACAACCUACAACACAGGGUAAUGACCUUGCACAUGACCAAGUGGGCCUAAAAGCAGCCAACUUCCAAAAAGCGUCCAAGCUUACCCAUAAACUAUCCCAAAUUCAACCAUCAAAACAAAACCCACACCCAUUACUGAACGAUCCCAUAUACAUAUGAGAGACAUCAUACUAGAACUAGUAACAAGAAGUAUAGAACUUCUCCACAAUGUAAGCUUUAGCCAAAAUGAACCCCCACCGGCACCCACCGCCACAACCCACAGUACCACCACCCCAAGAAAACCCUACUGCACCCAGCGUCAACCUUACACCAGAACAUUACCGUGAAAGAUUAAAAGGAGGGGAAGGAACUCGGCAAACACCCGCCCCGCCUGUUUACCAAAAACAUCGCCUCUUGACACAACUAAACAUAAGAGGUCUAGCCUGCCCAGUGACAACGUUAAACGGCCGCGGUACCCUAACCGUGCAAAGGUAGCACAAUCACCUGUCCUUUAAAUCAGGACUAGUAUGAAUGGCCCCACGAGGGCAUUACUGUCUCCCCCCCCCAAUCAGUGAAACUGAUCCCCCCGUGAAGAAGCGGGGAUAACACUAUAAGACGAGAAGACCCCAUGGAACUUUAAACUUGUACCACUGCCCCCCCCCCACACCACACUAACAGGACAACAUGACUACAAGUCUUUCGGCUGGGGCGACCACGGAAAAAAACAAAACCUCCAUGAUGAAACAAGGGCCCCCCCCAUCCCAGAACAACUUCUCCAAGAAUCAAUAAAUUGACACAAAUUGACCCAACACCUUGAUCAACGAACCAAGCUACCCUGGGGAUAACAGCGCAAUCCAUUUCAAGAGACCCCAUCGACAAAUGGGCUUACGACCUCGAUGUUGGAUCAGGGUAUCCUAGUGGUGCAGCCGCUACCAAUGGUU